UACGUAGGUGGCAAGCGUUGUCCGGAUUUAUUGGGUUUAAAGGGUGCGUAGGCGGUCUUAUAAGUCAGUGGUGAAAUACGGCAGCUCAACUGUCGAGGUGCCAUUGAUACUGUAGGACUUGAGUACAGACGAGGUAGGCGGAAUUGACGGUGUAGCGGUGAAAUGCGCAGAUAUCAGGAAGAACACCCGUGGCUAAGGCGGCUCUCUAGUACGGUACUGACGCUGAGACGCGAAAGCGUGGGGAGCGAACAGG
rnacentral:rRNA from 1 species